GCAGCCAGCUGCGAGAUUUGGUGUGAAUUGCAGGACACAUUGAGCACUGAUUUUUCGAACGCACAUUGCGGCCUCGGGUCCUGCCCGGGGCCUCGCCUGUCUGAGGGUCGGAUAAGACUUGCAAAGGAUUUAAUAUCCAAUUGGCCGCGUCGGGUUUAUUCAAGACUCGUCGGCUCAAGUCUCUUUAGGAUCGUCCCCGGUCGAGGAAGCAUCGCCUUAUAGCAUGCUCGUCGCUCGGAGAAGACGGACAAACGUUUCUCCACGAAGACGAGACGGGCUCGAUGCUAAAGUGGCCAACGAACGGGACAGGAUUCCUACUAGGCUGAAAGCUUAGAAAUUUUCAUWUUUUUUGACGACCUCAGAUCAAACGAGAUGACCCGCUGAAUUUAAGCAU
rnacentral:rRNA from 1 species